UUGGCUCAGGAUGAACGCUGGCGGCGUGCUUAACACAUGCAAGUCGAACGGAGAACUUUCUUCGGAAUGUUCUUAGUGGCGAACGGGUGAGUAACGCGUAGGCAACCUGCCCUCUGGUUGGGGACAACAUUCCGAAAGGAAUGCUAAUACCGAAUGAGAUCCUCUUUCCGCAUGGAGAGAGGAUGAAAGAUGGCCUCUACUUGUAAGCUAUCGCCAGAAGAUGGGCCUGCGUCUGAUUAGCUAGUAGGUGAGGUAACGGCUCACCUAGGCGAUGAUCAGUAGCCGGUCUGAGAGGAUGAACGGCCACAUUGGGACUGAGACACGGCCCAAACUCCUACGGGAGGCAGCAGUGGGGAAUA
rnacentral:rRNA from 1 species